AAAUUGAAGAGUUUGAUCAUGGCUCAGAUUGAACGCUGGCGGCAGGCCUAACACAUGCAAGUCGAGCGGUAGCACAGAGAGCUUGCUCUCGGGUGACGAGCGGCGGACGGGUGAGUAAUGUCUGGGAAACUGCCUGAUGGAGGGGGAUAACUACUGGAAACGGUAGCUAAUACCGCAUAA
rnacentral:rRNA from 8 species